rnacentral:rRNA from 1 species
CGAGCGGACAGAUGGGAGCUUGCUCCCUGAUGUUAGCGGCGGACGGGUGAGUAACACGUGGGUAACCUGCCUGUAAGACUGGGAUAACUCCGGGAAACCGGGGCUAAUACCGGAUGGUUGUUUGAACCGCAUGGUUCAGACAUAAAAGGUGGCUUCGGCUACCACUUACAGAUGGACCCGCGGCGCAUUAGCUAGUUGGUGAGGUAACGGCUCACCAAGGCGACGAUGCGUAGCCGACCUGAGAGGGUGAUCGGCCACACUGGGACUGAGACACGGCCCAGACUCCUACGGGAGGCAGCAGUAGGGAAUCUUCCGCAAUGGACGAAAGUCUGACGGAGCAACGCCGCGUGAGUGAUGAAGGUUUUCGGAUCGUAAAGCUCUGUUGUUAGGGAAGAACAAGUGCCGUUCAAAUAGGGCGGCACCUUGACGGUACCUAACCAGAAAGCCACGGCUAACUACGUGCCAGCAGCCGCGGUAAUACGUAGGUGGCAAGCGUUGUCCGGAAUUAUUGGGCGUAAAGGGCUCGCAGGCGGUUUCUUAAGUCUGAUGUGAAAGCCCCCGGCUCAACCGGGGAGGGUCAUUGGAAACUGGGGAACUUGAGUGCAGAAGAGGAGAGUGGAAUUCCACGUGUAGCGGUGAAAUGCGUAGAGAUGUGGAGGAACACCAGUGGCGAAGGCGACUCUCUGGUCUGUAACUGACG